rnacentral:rRNA from 1 species
UCCCAGACUCCUACGGGAGGCAGCAGUGAGGAAUAUUGGUCAAUGGGCUUACGCCUGAACCAGCCAAGUCGCGUGAGGGAAGACUGCCCUAUGGGUUGUAAACCUCUUUUGUCAGGGAGCAAUUGGCGCUACGUGUAGCGUUAUCGAGAGUACCUGAAGAAAAAGCAUCGGCUAACUCCGUGCCAGCAGCCGCGGUAAUACGGAGGAUGCGAGCGUUAUCCGGAUUUAUUGGGUUUAAAGGGUGCGUAGGCGGAAUGCAAGGUCAGCGGUAAAAUCGCGGGGCUCAACCUCGCUCCGCCGUUGAAACUGGCGUUCUUGAGUGGGCGAGAAGUAUGCGGAAUGCGCAGUGUAGCGGUGAAAUGCUUAGAUAUUGCGCAGAACUCCGAUUGCGAAGGCAGCAUACCGGCGGCGAUCUGACGCUGAGGCACGAAAGCGUGGGUAUCGAACAGGAUUAGAUACCCCAGUA